rnacentral:lncRNA from 1 species
AAAAAAAAACCAUGUAAUGUCAAAAGUUUGAUCACAAUCCAAAUUCAGAGCUGUAUCAAGCUUGAAUGUUUUGUCCAUACUUGCCCCAACUGUUCAGGGUUCGACCUCUGCGGUCGUAUAAAGCUGCGCCCUGCGGAGCACCUGGUUUUACUUUUUAUUUGGAGGUUUGUAGUAGGGGGUCAGUAUACCACAGGGGGUCAAAAUACCAUGGCUAAGUGUAAUUUUCAAUCUUUAAAAGCAUGUUAGAUACAUACAUACUACUUAUUGGAGUAUUUUUACUCUAUAAAAGAGUUAAAAUAGCUUGGUUUUUUUAAAUAAAAGGUCUAUAGUAGGGAGUUCAAUAUUCUGCACGAGUUCAAAAUACCAUUGCUUAGUAAAUUUUCAAAAAAUCUUUUCUAGCAUGUUAAAUACAUACUA